rnacentral:rRNA from 1 species
UCGCUCUUCAACGAGGAAUCCCUAGUAAGCACAAGUCACCAGCUUGUGCUGAUUACGUCCCUGCCCUUUGUACACACCGCCCGUCGCUACUACCGAUUGAAUGGCUUAGUGAGGCCCUCGGAUCGACUUUCUGAGACUGGCAACAGUCUCUGAUUGUUGAGAAGUUGGUCAAACUUGGUCAUUUAGAGGAAGUAAAAGUCGUAACAAGGUUUCCGUAGGUGAACCUGCGGAAGGAUCAUUACUGAUUUAGCGAACCGAGCAUUAGCGAGGUUUUGCGAUCACUUGUAUUUAAAACCCAACUCAUAUAAAAUAUGUAUAUUUUUGAAAAAUAAAUUAAAGAUCACUUUCAACAACGGAUCUCUUGGCUCUCGCAUCGAUGAAGAACGUAGCGAAGUGCGAUAAGUAAUGUGAAUUGCAGAAUUCCGUGAAUCAUCGAAUCUUUGAACGCAUAUUGCACUUUCUGGUAUUCCGGAAAGUAUGCCUGUUUGAGGGUCAGUUAAAUAAAAAUCGGUGUUGUUGCUGCUAUUAGUGGUGAUGCAUCGGAAUUGAGUUGUUCUUUGCCCUUUGGUAUAAGUGACUUAAAAUUUGUACGAUUUUUGAACGUAUUUAAAUUAUUUACGUACGUUCAUAAUAAUCAUAUAUUAGGUGCGGUCAUUAUUAUGAUUUCGCGCCUAUAAUUUUUUCAUUAUUUGACCUCAAAUCAGGUAAGAAUACCCGCUGAACUUAAGCAUAUCAAUAAGCGGAGGAAAAGAAAAUAACAAUGAUUCCCUUAGUAACGGCGAGUGAAGGGGGAUAAGCUCAAAUUUUAAAUCUGCUAGGUUUUACCUAUCAGAGUUGUAAUUUGAAGAAGCGUUUUCCGCGUCUCGGUUGACCCAAAUCCUUUGGGAUAUGGUAUCAUGGAGGGUGAGAAUCCCGUCCGGUUGACUUUGUGACGCUUUACGAUACGUUUUCAAAGAGUCGAGUUGUUUGGGAUUGCAGCUCAAAAUGGGAGGUAAAUUUCUCCUAAGGCUAAAUAUAGGCGAGAGACCGAUAGCGAACAAGUACCGUGAGGGAAAGAUGAAAAGAACUUUGAAAAGAGAGUUAAAUAGUACGUGAAAUUGUUGAAAGGGAAACGCUUGAAACCAGUCAUGCUGGUGUGAAAUCAGCCGUGUCGACGGUCGCGUGCUUGGCAUCGGGAGGGCAACCCCCGUGCUAUGUUCGGCGUUCGUCGUUCGGUGCACUUUCGCGCACGCAGGUCAGCGUCAGCUUUGAUCGCGGGAAAAAACCCCGGGAAGGUGAUCAUCGGUUCGCCGGUGGUGUUAUAGCCCUUAGCCCAUACCGCGUGUCGGGGUUGAGGAUCGCAGCGCACGCUUUCGCGCUUCGCGCCUGGAGACUGGUCGUCGCCGGACGGCAGACAGCUUGCUGACUGUCGACUGAACGUCACCCAACUCUCUAGACCGACGAUAUGUGCGCUUAGGAUGCUGACGUAAUGGUUUUAAACGACCCGUCUUGAAACACGGACCAAGGAGUCUAGCAUAUAUGCGAGUGU